UACGCAGGGCGCAAGCGUUGUCCGGAAUUAUUGGGCGUAAAGAGCUCGUAGGCGGUCUGUCGCGUCGGAUGUGAAAGCCCGGGGCUUAACCCCGGGUCUGCAUUCGAUACGGGCAGACUAGAGUGUGGUAGGGGAGAUCGGAAUUCCUGGUGUAGCGGUGAAAUGCGCAGAUAUCAGGAGGAACACCGGUGGCGAAGGCGGAUCUCUGGGCCAUUACUGACGCUGAGGAGCGAAAGCGUGGGGAGCGAACAGG
rnacentral:rRNA from 1 species